CGUAUAUACUACCCUCUCCUUCCUUCUCUUUCUGCUGUUUCACUCCCACUAUCACGUCGAACAGCUUUCCCCUCUUCGUUAUCUCUUCGCGCACACGUAUACACACUUAUAUAUGCUGUUCGAAAAGCACGUCGAUACUGCUGCUAGUGCCAGAGUAUACAAUCCAUUUGUAGUAGUGUCCCAGCGACAGUCCCCACUAUUACUCUACUUGGUAUAUUGGUGGGGGAGAAUGCCCUGAGAGAGAAAAAGGGUGCUUGCUCGCUCUCGCGCUCGCGCUCGUGCGCGCGCACACGUAGGAAGGGACUACGAGUGCCAAUGGAGUAGUAGAGAGAAAGAAGGAGAGAGGAAGAGAAAGAGUAAAAGAGAGGGAGGCUGCGCCGAUAUACACACAGGGUGUGUGUAAAGUGUGGGAAAGAAGGGAGAAAGACUGCUAGUUGCACACGGUUAAGAAGAGUGAAGAGUCAGGCAGAUAGAGGGAGAGAGAGAGAGAGAGAGUGAGUGAGUGAGUGAGAGGGAGGGAAAGGGAGAGAAAGGAGGGGUCGCUCCUCCGAACGAGGGGUUGUACCGGUGGGGAGGUUUGACCUGAGCUAGUUCCCCUCCAUUCAAUCCACGGCCACAAUAUAUCGGUUAUAGCGAGCCACUGUUGCCAGAUUGUGAGCCUCCGCGCGAGACUGCGCCGGUGGUGGCGUGUGGGUGGAGCCACGCAAGAGAAGGAAGAGUCAAGAAUAACUUCCUACCGUAUAAGUACACGUAUCGCCCUCGCGCGACUUGCCUGACACAGCAUUGCUCUAACGUAAGAGUCGAUCGACGGAUAUCCAUCUGAUGCAACGUCGAGGAAGAAACAAGACGAGAAAGAUUUAUGAGUUCCUGCCGCGAAAUAGAAACGUCAUGGUUUUCCCGAGAAAAUCAAAGAAAAGCAUCGUAGAUCUUUAUUACGAGCCAACAAAGUCAACGAGCGCGUAUGAUUUUGGAUUUGGUUCACCCAAAUAUAGCCGCUAGACAAACACGAGUUUAUACCGUGUAGAAGUCUUGGUUGACGUUGGAAAAGGGGGAUGUUUAGCAACGAGGGAUGAUUCAAAGACCCCGCCACCAAUCUGUUUCCCCUCUCUAAGCCGUGAGUUGUCCAUUCAAGCGGAUGCCAUCUCUCUCUUUCUUUCUCUCUUUCUCUUUUUCUCUCUCUCUCUCUCUCUCUCUCUCUUUCUCUUUACGAACUCUCCUUUGUUCGUGAAUUAUUGGAAUAUACUGCGUCUAACCGACGAGAUCGAACGUAAGCUAGAAGUAAGCGAGAAAUUUAUUCGACAAUAAUCAACAUAGAUAUUAGAAUGAGCUUUCUUUUUUCUUUCUGUCGUCUUGUAUGAUAUACAACGAAAAGUUGUUAGGAAAAUGGUUGUACACCUGGGAAGAAAUAGAAAGAGAAAACAAUUGUAAGCGCGUUGCGACGAGAAAAGAAAAGACGAAAGGGCCAGCAGUUGUACGGUACUAUGGAAAAGCAAGAGGGAAUGAGAGAAAAAGAGAGGGAGGGGGAGAGAGAUGGAGAAAGAAAUCUAACGGUGAUCUGAAAAAGUGUACUCACAAGCGAAAAGCUUCGGAACUUUUCCGAGAAAUGGUGGAGGACGUGGGUGGGAUGCUGCGAAGAAGUGGUGGAAAUCGAGCAAGAAGAAAACUGAGAAAAAAGGCGUAAUAGAAAAGGACGAACCUAUAUAAUAUAUACUUUGUAGAAAGUAAGAGAGAGAGAGAGAGAGAGAGAGAGAGAGAGAGAGAGAGAGAGAGAGAGAGAGAGAGAUAAAGAAAGAAAUAAAGAAAGAAAGAAAGAAAGAAAGAAAGAAAGAAAGAAAGAAAGAAAUAAAGAAAGAGAGAAGAAAAUGCUUCGGAUAGAAGAAGAAUGUGAUUUGAGGAGAGGUGAAGUGUGGAAGGAAAGGAAAAAUUUUUUGGUGGAAGGGUCGCUUUCCUGCAAGAGAGUGAAUGCGAGAGAGAAAGAGAAAGAGUGAGAGAGAGAGGGAGAGAAAGAGGGGAGAGAUUGGCUCGACGAGGGGAAGAAACCUUUCACGAGUAGAGAGCGUUGGGGGUGCAGGUUCGAGUUUGGGCUUAAGUUCGUUCGAGAAGGGCACGAGCUAGAAGGGAAAGGACGAGUCAGUUUGAAAGAGAAAGAGGGAGAGAAAUAGAGAGAGAGAGAGAGAGAGAGACAGAGAGAGAUAGAGAAAGAAAGAGAGAGAGAAGAAAGAGGAACUUGCUCUGAUGGUGGAAGAGCUAUAUAUCUAUAUAUAUAUAUAUAUCUAUAUAUAUAUAUAUAUACAUACAGACACAUACACACUAAAUAGAAAGAGAGGAAAAUAGGAAGGAAGAGGUAGAAAGACAGAGAUAGAUAGAUAGAUAGAUAGAGGUUACAACAGCCGAGCUCGGUCUCUGCUCUAGAGACUAUCGUAGAGUGCAGCGACGCAGUGUUGCCAAUAAUUCAGUCGCUUUGGAUCAUAUCAUUUUUACUGUGCUUCUUGUAUUUGCACUCGACAUAGAAUUCGCUGUCCAAUUGACUCGCACAAUUACUUUUUACAACGUCGUCAAUUUGACGUUCGUAGUAGGUCGGAUAAUAUGAGAAUUACUUUACCGACCGAUUCAUUUCCAAGCGAUGACAAGUCGUUUAUUGGUGCACCUUAUCUAAUCGCCAUUUUAACCCUAGAUAUUAUCGAAAGAGUAAUAAUCCCAGAUCAGGUUUAUUGAAGAGGUUUUUCAAAUCGAUUCUCUAUGAGGUUGAAUAUAAAAGAGAUUGGAAUUCGUGGACCGGUCACAACUCGUUCGAUACCGUACAUAAGUACAUACAUAUGUAGUUACAUACAAUCGCAAGUGGCCGUGAAGAGGCACGACACUGUAAAAUAAGGACGCGCAUCCACCUUUCUACUCGUGGUACCGCAAAGAAACGGUGACCCGCGGUGUCCGGCUGCGUGCACAUUCCAGCUUGUUAGCUUUGACUCCUCGCUCCGGUUUCUUUCCCGAAGAUGUCGAUUCACUUGGAGAGCUACUCGAAAAUAAUACCAUCUUAAUUUACCAGAACCACUGACCGUUUGUGCAACGUAUAGUAUAUGCGGGCAUUGUCCCGCGACGAGUUGUCGGUUUAACGUUCGCGGUCAAUUGCACUAAUUUCUACGACAUAAUACAAAUGUAAAUGCAUAUGUAUGUAUAUCGUGCUUUCCUACGACCGACCACCAGUUUACGUAUAGACUCGAUUCGAAUGUAACGAUAAAGAGAUUUCAUUUUGGAGAGAUCAAUGCCACGCAUAGAUCUUUCAACCCGUUCCGGUUUUUUGAUUGUCCGGAUUCGAUCGGAUCAAUGAUCUCGGGAGGACGUCACGUGUGCUCGAAAAUCGCGUACCAGUAUAGUACGGGAUCCCGUGAGAAAAAUAUAUUUAGAGAUGUUCUACGAUGAUCGAGCAAGUUAUUAUCGACGUUCUUUCUAUUUGAUUACAUAGAUCUUUCGUUCUAUCAUAACAAGCUCGUUCGAGGUGCUUCAACCAGUUCCCGAAUGUGGGAAUCAAUCGAGUCUAUAUAACGAAGUUAAUUUAUUGAUAUUGGAUAAAUAUUUAUGGGCUCAUGUCAAUUUAUGCGCUUAUAUACGAAAGAGGGGAGAUAGAUAGAUAGAUAGAGAGUAAAUUAUUUUCGCUGGUAGAUACAUAUAGGCAGAGUUCAGAACGUCGUAUAGAAAUACUCAUUCUAAUCAUAGGAAAUUCCUUAAACAGAGAGCAUGUGAGAGAGUGAUAGAGAGACAGACAGAGAGAGAGAGAGAGAGAGAGAGAGAGAGAGAAAGGAAAGACGAGGGUGGUAGGGGAGAAGGGAUGUUCUCCCAAAAAUUUCACCAAGGAGUUAAGACUGUCGACUACGAGGACGCCGACGACGGGACUGGCUAUAAAUAUCAACCCCUCCACGCCAUUUUCUCUCUUUCUCUCAAGCUUUUCAGAUAUCUUCGUUUCUCUCUUCCGAGAGAGUCGUCUAUCCUUCUUCCUCCUUUUUCAUCAUAUUUCUCUCUCUCUCUCUCUCUCUCUCUCUCUCUCUCUCUCUCUCUCUCUCUUCCUCUCUACUCUACAAUAUGUAUUUAAAAUAGCUGCAUGCUGCAAAAUAACUGAAAUAGCCGUGAAGGGUCGAUGAUCCCCAGUGGCUCCUACUUCCUGGAAGAGUUUACGGAUUUUCGACGUCGUCGUCUCGAAGACGAAGAGACGAAGAAGACGAAGGGGAAGACGACGACGACGACGACGACGACGACGACGACGACGACGAAGAAGACGAAGACGAAGACGAAGACGACGACGACGACGACGACAACGAAGAUACGCGAUGACUGAGGAACGACAACGACUUGUCGGCACCGUGCACAGUGUUCCUUUGACACCGUGUAUCCGUUGCCUUGCCGUUCCACUUUGCUUCAAGGCGAAAAGAACUUGAGGGAGAGGGUGUGGAGGAGGUGGAGGUGAGAGGCUCAUUCACGGAAGACGGAAGUAUACGAUGUUUUAACUAGUUCUUUUUUCUUUUUCCUUUUAUUUUUUAUAUUUUUUCUUUUUCUUUUUUUUUGUUCCCUCCCCCUUCCACUCCAAUCCUCCCUAUCUCGAGUAAUACUUCUUAUGCGAAUAAUUGUUAACUUUAAUUAUUCUUACAUCAUUCUCAUAUAUGAUAUAAUAACUCCAAUAUAAUUUAUAUAGUAAUGAAUGGAGUGGCCCAAAGUGAAAAACAUAUAUAAAUUUCCAUUGGUGAGUCAUUUUCACCUCAUUAUCCCCCAACUUACAAAAGCUUUCCCUAGCAAAGUAAAACACAUUGAAAAGUUUGGUACGAUCGGUAAGAACGAUUUCCUUUCCGUGAAAGCGAGUACCUGGACUGCACGUAACAUUCGUGCUCGAUCUACGAGUCACUUUUACGAGUUUCUACCGGGCGUUAGCUGCAUCGUGCAAACGCGUUAUCUUAAUGAAACGCAAUGAGAUUGGUUUCGUCUUGAGGAAUGAGAAAGAGAAGCGGUGAGAUAGAGAUAGAGAGAGAGAGAGAGAGAGCCGCGCAAUGGCGCACGCGCGCACGAGCAUUAACGAUCCUUUGUUCGAUGUACGUCUUGACGCGUGCGCGCGCGCGCGCACAGACAACUUUCUUACAUUUUCUAAGAUGAGAGACGUAUGUAAAAUCUGUCCAUUGGUUUAUGCGGAUUCACUCGUAAUAAUGAAUAUUAACUUAUCAAUUAUUUUAUAAUCAAUGAAAAAGAAAAAAAAGAGGAAAAGAAUAAAUAAAUAAAAAAAAUGAAAUAACAUUUUAUCAAUACGAAUGAAUAGAGAGAAGUAAGUGUUAUUUCUCCGAUCGAAUCACGUACACGAGUAUCGAUAAUUUUCGAUAAGAGAAUUAACCGAUAAGAAUGCGUUCGAACAUUUAGUUGUGCGCGCUCGCGCGUUUCUAUGACGAGCCAGCCUAUGGAGAUUUGCUGCAAUGGGCGCGAGCGCGCGCGCGCACACGCUCACGGCACACGCGCGGCAGCGAACGGCAGCGCGAGUAGCAGCGUUAGCCUUGACAUUGGUCACGUUGUAUUUACUUUGUGGAAGGUUGCCGGAGGAUUAAUAUACGUGCAAGCCAUUCGUAGCUCGUGCGCGACGCUUUAUUACGAACGCGAUAUGAUUGACGCCUCGACGAGUCUUUGAAGAAUUUUUGAUUUGCUAUGGAAACAAAACGAAAAAGAAAAAGACAAAGGAAAGAGGAAGGAAGGUAAAGGAAGAGGAAAAAUAAUAGGAGGAAGAAGAUUAGGAAAAAGGUUGUCAGGCAGGUUUGACCGGCCUUUGUCAUGGAGGUAACGCGGAGGAGAGGAGCCACGGAGUGAGAGAUAUCUGUCCGGCCACAGGAGGACGAAUCACGGAUGAAUUUAGACACGGCAUACCUGAAGACCACCGUAGCACACAACAAAACGUGACCCGAGAGAGUUUCACUACUCUUUGAUUCUUUGAAGAGCAGGAAGCUGCUCUCCAAUAUAUACCUAUAUAUCUAAAGUAGAUUUAUUGGACAUCUAAUAUUAAUAUUUACAUAUUAAAAUAUGCAAAAUUAUGAAAAUGCCACUAGGAAGAAAGUGAACGCGAAUAUCCUAAAUCCUUAUUUACUUGGCGUUCAAAGCCAUACUUUAGAUCACUAUAUACGAUGGGGAAAAUAAUUGUACUGUUUACCCUACGUGUGCUAAUACACGUUGUAAGUACGGUAUAUACAAUACCAGCGAAAGAUAUCCCAUGCCGAGGCUCACGGAGGACUCGUGAACCGCCUCUUUUAUCCGGGGCGCAAUUGAGUCAACGGCCUUUCGAAAGAAGUAACGGUAUACGAUUAUUACUCCUACCGAGUCCUAUACUCACGAAACUCAACAUUCGCGUGCACGCGCGCGCACAGGAGAGAGAGAGAGAGAGAGAGAGCCUUCCAUAGCAUGCUUUUAUGGAUGCAGCGAGAGAGAGAGAGAGAGAGAGAGAGAGAGAGAGAGAGAGAAAGAGAGAGAGAGAGAGUAUAGAGUAAGUAGACAACAUUUUACACAAACAACACGGUGACAGAUCGGCACCUUUAACAGAGCCCGUUCGCCAAGUGAAACGAAACGUUCGCUUCGUUACGUGUCCUGUCUCUCUUAUCGUGAUAUAGGACUAUAUGAUCUCUGGAGUCCUUCGAAUUAAAUGUAUUAUAACGAAAUAUAUCGUAGAUUUAUUAGACCUAGUCGCAAAAGGCUAUCUAUCGAUGUCCCGAUAAAACUCGUUUAGAUCCGUUAUUGUUAAGUUGUUAGCGAACACAGAAGCAGUUCGUAAAGUCAGAGAGAACAGGCUGUGGUAUACCAACGAUGACCGCGGAAGGCCGCGAGUAGGGUUGGGAGUGGGGGGAAAUGCUCUCCAACUGGGUGGAAAAAAGAGAAAUCGAUGUCAAGAUGGGGAGAUCGAUGUCCUAUAAAGAAAAUAUCUGCGUUUCGACAAAUCGGCUCCUUUGGCAAGAUAUAUCAAGUUCGUUUAUUUGAUGCCUUCGAUAAUAGUAACGAGGCCGAAUUAAGUCUUACAAUUUUUCUUUGGUCUAUUAUUCGAUGAUAUAUAAAUCGAAAAUCGUUCUUUUGUUCGGAUCAAUUAUUUUUUAAAAGGCCAAUAGAAUUAUAUAUUCAAAUCUUUCUUUCUUUCUUUCUUUCUUUCUUUCUUUAUGCAGUUCGUCUUAGACAUUCCUAUUUUAUCGAUCGGAUAAGUCGAAUGCCGAGAAAGUAAAAAGGCAAAUUAGAAGAGUGCACUUUGAUGUACUUAGCCAUCUUAGUGCUCUUAUUCGAUCGAGGUACAACGUGAAUGGACCGCACUCAUAAUCCCUAUUAAUAAAAACGCAUUUAUCCCUUCGCCCUCGGUCGUUCUCUCGGCACGAGGAGACGAAGAACGCAUUCCAGCGUGCAGUCCGCCGACGAUCUGCAUUCGCAGAAAAGGACGAAGAAGUCGUGGAAGCGAGCAAAACGAAUUAGCAUCCCGAUCGUUCCAAGCGGACCGCCCCCUCUCUUUUUCUCUUUCUCUUUUCGUCCUCCCUGCUUCUCCAGAGUACUCGUAAGAUACUCUCGUAUACGUUCUCGUACCUGUACGUGAGAAACAAGAAACUCUGAGAGAUAGUCUCUCUCUCUCUCCCUCUCUCCCUCUCUCUCUCUCUCUCUCUCUCUCUUUCUCUCUUUACCUCCCCCCUCCCUUUUUUACUCUUUUACAUACGUAUGCAUGUAUCGCAGACGAGCAGGACUCGCAGCAAAGAGGUAAAAGAGAAGAGGAAAGUAGCGACGAUGGCAUAAAUCACUUGAGUCUCGAUGCCUGACGAACCUAUCUCCAUAGACGGUAAUAAUAACGCGAAGCCUCGCCAAGUUUGAAAUAAACGUGUCUUGAGUAGUCUGGCUACUCAGAUAUUUUUUUUCUUUGACUUUUGUUCGGUAAGUAAAUCUGUAUACAUACUGCAGGUAAAGCGUUGCAACUCAGAUAUUAUUUACGGGUAAGGUGGCUCGUUAACCGGUGAUCCGUUUCGUGAUUUCUCGCUCAUGGCUCUUUCAUCGCGAGAGAAGUUGUGUAGGUGGGCGCUCUCUCGCGUUGAUAGAAGGAGGGGGUGGAAUCUUGGACAUGGCGGCCGUACGGCUAAUGCGUCGCUAUACCCGUUCAGCGAUGUUUGUUUGAGAAGCACUUUUGGCCGGAUCAUUGACUCCUUUUCAAUCCACAGCAGACUUGUAGCAGCGCUGCGCCGGAUUAGAAGUGGGACUUAAAGAAUGAUUUCACAUUGAGCUUUGUACCUCGAGGAUCUCGGGCGUGUGGCAAAGCGAAAGGCGGUAGGAGAGUUCGAGUUUAAAUUACGGUUCAACCGAUUUCUUCGAAUAACUCGGAGAAAACGCCGAAGCAGGUACGACGCAUCGAAUUGGAACGUAUCUUUCGUAAAUGACGACAUAACGUGUCUAUCGGAUAGUUAUCCUCUUUAUUUACUCCAACUUUGCCAUUUCUUUCGACGCUUUAUAUUGCGACAUGUCCGAGAUAUUUUCAAUUCUCCAACUAUUUGGUGAACGAUUGAAACAGAGUCAACGCACUUGCCGAGUCCGACAGAAAUUUGCCGUCAACGAGCAAUAAAAUUGCAAUGGACGUUCCGUAAUUUUAAAUAAAACUGAAAGUAGUCAAGUUCUUUUCGUGUUUGAAGAAUAAAAGAAACAAAAAAGACAAAGAAAAAGAAAAGAAGAAGAAGAAGGAGAAAAAGAAAAGAACAGAAAAGAAAUUAUUCGCGGCCGAAGUGUCGGCUGUAGCGGGUGUAGAGGGGGAAACGAUAUCUGAAUCGCUCGACCAUGAGACGAUCCCUGAAUAACAGUCGCACAUGGCGCGGCUAGUGGGAUGAUUCAUGGUCGUUGAAUCGACGCGACCUCGAGGAGAUGCAGAGUGAAAAUAAUUUAUCCGCGUUGUGACCGACGCUCCUUUGUCCGUUGGGAGCGGCAUGGCGGUCUAAUUCGAUCGAUACCUUCCCUCUCUAUCUUUCUCUCGCUCUCUCGUUCUGUCUCUCUGACAUCAUAUCCGUACGCGUAGUAUAGGACACGCGACGACGUCUAUACAUAAGCCACGCAUACGAGCAAACGUUUGUAUAUACGUAUGUAGAACAUGAGUAUGAUUACAAUAUCAGAAGAUGAUCAAAAAAAAAAAAAACAAAGAGGGGGAGAGAGAGAGAGAGAAAGAGAGAAAGUCAGAUCCUCAGCGCAGAGGAUUUCGCGGUGGCUGGCAUUGCCGCGUACCGGUCGAUUUACGCGCUCGUUUGCAGGUAUGCCAAGCAUGUAAGGUCUCUAACGCUGAAACGCCGGUCGUCCGGACAAAACGAGUGGGAGGAAGGGCAGCCGCAGGUUGACGAGAGGCGAGAGAGGUGGGAGGAACCCGUGUAAGAGGGUGGAAAGAGGAAGGAAUUGGAUGGGAGUGAGAAGGUAGAAAGAAGGAGAGAACUCCUCACUCUACUCUCUUUCUCUUUCUUUUUCUCUUUCUCUUUCUCUCUCUCUCUCUCUCUCUCUCUCUCUCUCUCUUUCUCGAGGGAGUGCAUUGCUUGCGCACACCUACACAGAAAAGGCCAGCUACACACUGGACGGGGGAAGGCACAUGGUUACGUAGCAGCUCGUUGCCUGACUGUCCCGACUCAUGCCCUGCUGGCACGACACACUCUUUAAAACUCGACGUAGGAGAUACGCCGAGUGUGUUUGAGAGAGAAGAGACUAACCGGCAACGAGGACGGUGGGAAGGAAAGCAAAGAAAGAGAAAGACAGUAAGUUGAAAAGAAAGGAGACGAGGAAAGAAGAGGAAAGAAAAAGAAUGCAUUUGGAUUACUCGAUAGAAAGAGAGAAACGAGUAGGUGGGUAUGUUAAAAAAAGUUAGGGAGCGGGUGGGAGUCCCCGAGACUGACCGGACAAGACGAUGAGGACGACGAACGAAAGAACCAACAGCAACUCUGCUUAUAUUAUAGAACACACUAUCGAGAAGAUAUAACCACCAGCGCCACGCUACGGUGGGAAUUCGUUUCUCUGGGCUCGCGCUAGUUACAUGGGUUCAUAGUAUGCCCGGUAUUUACUAAAUAAACCAUUAAAUAUAAAGUAUAAUCGAAUAUAAAUUAAUAAAAUAUUUUUGUAUAAAACAUUAUGUGGUAAUUUGUAUCGGCCAUUAAUCAUCCUGGAUUUGUUUAUCACAUAUUUAUCUUUAUAAUGAAAUAAUAAUUAAAAUUGAGAUUACUUUACUACGAGUGGAAUUAGCACUUUGAACCCAGCACGAUGUCUUCGGGCAAUAUUGAAUCCUGCAAAAUCAUCGGCUACUAACGUGCGAUGAAGAUGUGGUAAAUAUAUGAAUAAGAACGCAUUUGAGCAUUGGUUAUCUGUAUAGGUACGCAUGUGAGCACGUAAGAACGUACUUAUACAUUGUAUGCCUUUCUGCUUCUGAAAAUCGCGUGCAAGUAGUCGGAGGAGACGGCGGCAGGUGGACGCGCGCACACACGCGGUGUGGACGAACGGAGAAGGGAAAAUAAUGUUCCGGGGGAUAUACAUACAUAUAUACAUACGUACAUACGUACAUACGUACAUACGUAUAUCGCGCAUGCGAAAUUCCUUUUGCUUUCUCUCGACUGCCAAGCGAAGUGGCUUUGGGACAGCGUACGACGUUUGUCGUGCGUUACCGAUGAUUUUUCAGUUUUUCUUUUUUUUUCUUUUCUUUUCUUUACUUUUCUUUUUUGUUUUCUCAUCAUUCGAUUAAAUCCAAGAGAUUAGAGUUCGCAAGGCUCGUUCAAACAAGCGCGCUUUCUUUCUUUUCGACCAAUCAUAGGAAAUAGAAACGAAAGUGCAAACGGAUAAAUUAUCUUAUACGAUGAAGAUAUUGUUAGUAUCAAUCAACGAUGAUUAGUACAGAAUUAAGGUGAAGUUAAUGUAGAAUAACUGUUGCGCUAAUAUAAAUAAUGUCGGUUAAAACCUGCGCGUAGGGUUAAAGGAAGAACAAGAAAUGCAGGAAGAAAAAAAUAAAGGGAAAGAGAAAGAGAGUGUAAGAGAGGAGGGCAGCUGGGUGGCGUAAGGUUCUCAGGUAGGUAGGUAGGCAGGGAACAUUUAGACAGACGUGCUUUCGCGGCGUCGUGCACACCGAGAUUCGUGGCCGUUCGCCGAUCGUUGACACGGGGGCCCCGAGAGCACUCGACUGCAUUAUCGCGGCCGUGCGAACAGGUAACAACCUCGCGAUCUCUCUCUCUCUCUCUCUCUCUUUCUCUUUCUCUUUCUCUUUCUCUCCCUUUUUCUCUCUUUCUCUUUCUUCUAUCUCUGUCUUUCUAGCCCUCUUGCCCACCACCAUACGUAGCAUCCCUUUACUCUUCCUUCCCCACUCUUUUACUCGCCGGUGCGCGCGCGCUCUCGUGCGUUGAGCGCGAACGAGGGGCUAUUUUCUUAUGCCGGACCCGUCUCCACGCGCUCGGCAAACAAAUACCCGACAAAACGGUCCCUCGCGGCACGAGCUCUUUCGUGCGCUCGCGCGCGCGACCAAGCGAGCGAGGUUAUCCUUGCGCGGCAAGCUAAUGUCGAUAUGUCGUUUAACGAUUAAAGAAACAAAGGGAAAGAGAGAGAGAGAGAGAGAGCGAGAGAAAGAGAAAAAAUGGAAGAGAGAAAAUAAAGAAAUCUAUACAGUUUUCCUUAUUUCACAUCGAAUUUAAUCGGCUCGAUGAUUUCUCAUACUUUCGUGGGAUACUUGCUCCAUGCUCGGCUAACUCGACCGUUAUUUAUUUACCGUACUCACUCGUUGAUCCAUUUUCCUUCUCGAGUAAGCCUUACGGUUCAAAUCAAAUGACUGUCAUGAAUGACACAGUUAUGCCAGUCCAAAGGAAAAUGUUAUUAAUACUUUUAACGUUUUCCCUGAAGUAGAUAACAGGUUAAGGAUUCAAAGUAACGAAUCCGCGUUAUAUAUUUGCUUAGACAAGACAAAUACAUCUCAACGAUCCCGAUCAGCUUUUGGCACGCGGCAAUGUUAAAACAGCAUCACAUUGAUUCGAAAGUUUACCGCUUUCGCCCGAGCCCGAAUGAAAGUAUGGCUUGGUUCUAAUGCAUUUCAAAGAAAAAUGGACGAUCUCACGUGACGCGGUCUAGACGAGCGUGUUUCCACGAAAAGGCUUGAUAUCGUUACACGCAACGGCUCUUGGAAAUCUUAACCUAUUAACGUUUGAUUGAAUAGUUUGAUAAAAAGAAAAAUCUAAGAAUCCCGUUGAAGUAUCUAAGCGUAUUAUUUCAAUAGCCAAUUUCUUUGAUAACAAUAUCGAAAGCAUCGUACGUCAUAUGUAAGAUAAUGAAAUCCAAGGAAGAAUUCGAUAACGUUAAUUGUAAAAGGAGGUUAAACGGCAAGUUAAAUGUAUCGAUCUAGAAACUUCCUUCCGUUCAAAUUCCCCGGGCGUCGUCCUUUCACACGCCUCUACACCGGCCGAACGAAUCGCUGUCGUCAGUAGGAACCCUGAGUUGCGCCGGCAAAAGAGAACGAGAGAAAUAAUAGAUUCUCCAAUCGG